rnacentral:rRNA from 1 species
CUACGCACUCCUACGGGAGGCAGCAGUGGGGAAUAGUUGCACAAUGGGCGCAAGCCUGAUGCAGCCAUGCCGCGUGUAUGAAGAAGGCCUUCGGGUUGUAAAGUACUUUCAGCAGUGAGGAAGGUGGGUAUGUUAAUAGCAUAUUCAUUUGACGUUAGCUGCAGAAGAAGCACCGGCUAACUCCGUGCCAGCAGCCGCGGUAAUACGGAGGGUGCGAGCGUUAAUCGGAAUUACUGGGCGUAAAGCGCAUGCAGGUGGUUUGUUAAGUCAGAUGUGAAAGCCCGGGGCUCAACCUCGGAAUUGCAUUUGAAACUGGCAAACUAGAGUACUGUAGAGGGGGUAGAAUUUCAGGUGUAGCGGUGAAAUGCGUAGAGAUCUGAAGGAAUACCGGUGGCGAAGGCGGCCCCCUGGACAGAUACUGACACUCAGAUGCGAAAGCGUGGGGAGCAAACAGGAUUAGAUACCCUGGUAG